GAUGAACGCUGACAGAAUGCUUAACACAUGCAAGUCAACUUGAAUUUGGGUUUUUAACUUAGGUUUGGGUGGCGGACGGGUGAGUAACGCGUAAAGAACUUGCCUCACAGCUAGGGACAACAUUUGGAAACGAAUGCUAAUACCUAAUAUUAUGAUAAUAGGGCACCCUAUAAUUAUGAAAGCUAUAAGCGCUGUGAGAGAGCUUUGCGUCCCAUUAGCUAGUUGGAGAGGUAACGGCUCACCAAGGCGAUGAUGGGUAGCCGGCCUGAGAGGGUGAUCGGCCACAAGGGAACUGAGACACGGCCCUUACUCCUACGGGAGGCAGCAGUGGGGAAUAUUGGACAAUGGACCGAGAGUCUGAUCCAGCAAUUCUGUGUGCACGAUGAAGUUUUUCGGAAUGUAAAGUGCUUUCAGUUGGGAAGAAACAAAUGACGGUACCAACAGAAGAAGUGACGGCUAAAUACGUG
rnacentral:rRNA from 1 species